CUUCCGGCCGUUCGAGCGGCAGGGCGGGAGCGGCGCCUCAGGGAGCGCCUGAGGGAGCGCCGGGGCUGCGCCCGCGGAGGAGCCCGGGGGGCUGCGGGAUCCCAGGGAGCCUGCAGGAGCCGCCGGCUGAGAGCUGGAAUUGCCGGGGCUGGAGGAACCGCGUCUGUUCCUGCUUUCCACAUCCCAGACUGUGAUGGAUUGAUUCAGUGACCCAGCAUACAAGUAUUUAUCAUCUUUGGAGAAGCAGGCACUGCAAAGGCCUUUCAGGAGAGAUGUGGGCUGAAAAUGGCAUUAGAUUGUUGUGCUGGUAAAUAAUAGGUUGAAGUGGA